CACUUGUUGUAGCUCAUUUUUUCCCAUUUAAAAUCGCCACUUUUGUGAAACAAACUGUCAAAUAAUAUUAUUCGACUUGAUACGCAUACGUUUGAUCGAUAAAUUCGCUUUUCUAACGUAUUCGAUCUUUUAUAAUUUGACCUGUAAAAUUUGAAUAUCUUCACCAUUGCAUUUUACCAUUUCCUUCGCCUUGUCCAUUUUACUCUUCUCUGUAGUAGGAAGGGAGGAUCUGAGGAAACGGAGUUUCUAAUCUAACUAUUAACUAACAGCUAAAACACCUGGAGAAAGAUGGCGACUAAUAUAUUUGAAGAUGUUAGCGAAGACUUUACAUGGACAAACGUUAAAGAUGAGCCAAUUCUAGACAUAGACUUUAAUGUCAUGAAUAUUAUAGUUGCAGACGUAGAAGAAUGGCUGACAAAAUUAGAGCCGGAUGAUGAGCAAGCAAUAUCAAACCUUUUCUCCGGAGAUAUAUUUCAAAUAGAUGAUGACCAAGAAAAUGAACUGGAACUCGACCUUUCAACAAGUUCAGAGCUACUCAGUGAUGUUACUUCAAACCAGGCAUUAUUUGAACCAUUAAACUUCGGAAAUCCUAUGAGCUCUCAGGAAAUGAAAAUGGAAAUACCAGAAGAAAUCGGAUUGGAUACCAGAGACCAAAAAUGGACCGUGAAAGCAGAACCGACAUUAUUGGCUGUUAACGACGAACAAAUAAAACCAAAACCAACAACUUCAAAAAGAAGAAGGCAAACUAAAACUACAAAAAACCCAGUUGAGACAAGUGUCAAAGGCAAAGGAGUACGUAAACAUCGCAUCAGAGUGCAAAGGACGUUUAGAAAGAACCGCAAGAUUAGUGAAAGUACAAUAAAGAGCAAUACAACUGUGACAUCUGCUCCUAUUCGUGCACAGUGCAAGCGUCAAUUUUCCACCAUGUUAAACAACACUGGAACCAAGGAGACAACGUUCCAAAAUUCUCCUGUGAAAUAUGCGGAAAGGACGAAUAUAUUAAAGAGCACUUAUUAGUCCAUAAAUCAGACCAUAUAGACGGCAACCAAUACUGUUGCGAUCUAUGCGACUUCCGCACAGUCCAAUUAAAAAAGUUGAUUCAACACAGACGCAAACAUACUGGAGAAAGGCCACACAGGUGCCCGUUUUGUUCGUACAAAUCUUCCAGACGAGACAAUCUACAUUCACAUACACGGCGCGUACAUAACAUCCCAAAAAUAAGCAUCGACACAUUCACACCACCACACAUCAUUUAUCCUACACCAAGUCAAGUGUGAAACAAUUUUAAAACAAAUUUGUAAAUAAAUAUAAUUCUAUUAAUUCCACAUGUUCUUAUUUUUAAUAUGAAAUUUACAAUUAAAAAUUAACAUUACGGCAAAUAUUGUUUGGACGUUAUGUUAACUUUUAAAUCUUUUACACUUAAAAUAAUCUUUUAUACAACCUAUGUUUAUAACUAUCACUUUCAGUUAUCUGAGAGGAGUAAUGUAAACAAUAAAUAUUAUUAUAAAACAUUUUUUGUAUUUUUAUUUACUGGAACAUUAUGUAGCAGUAUACACAAGAUGUGAAAAUAAUAAAUGAAUGUCUUGUUUUUCAAAUGAAGUUAAUUUUUCUUUUACCGUUAUAUAUGCAUUUUUCAAAAUAAAAAGCAACUCACAUGUACACAUAAUUUUGCUUAUUGUUAGGGUCAGCGAAACGCUGUGUGUAAACAACUCGAAAGGCACAAUAGCACUUACAAGUAUAUUAAACAUUGUUUUUGUUACAUCAAAAUCUGUCGUAAUUCAUUCCAAAUAAGAGCCUUUUGUUAUUUCAGCUUCAACCUGCUAACCACUUUAAUAUCCUUCUCUGAAUAUGUCAAUUGCAUCUAGAUACAUAUUACCUCCAGUAAAGAACAAACAUAAUGAACAAUUAAUUAGUUGGUUUUUUGGGAACACUAAUAAAUAAAAAA